GACACAUUGAGCUCCAUCUUGUUGGAGGGGACAGUGACUGCUCAGGACGUGUGGAAGUAAGACAUAAAGACAACUGGGCUACAAUCUGUGAUGCACACUUUGAUCUCAAAGCUGCCAGUGUUAUCUGUAAUGCACUACAGUGUGGAACAGCUUUAUCUAUCCCAGAGGGAGCUCACUUCAGAAAAGGCCAUGGACCAAUCUGGACUGAGGAAUUUCAGUGCGUAGGGAAUGAGUCACACCACGUGUACUGUCCCAGAGUAUCACACGGGAGUCAGAUGUGCUCACAUGCAAAUGAUGCCAGUAUCAUAUGCUCACGGUUCCGGCUGGUGAAUGGCAGCUCACCGUGCUCAGGGAGGGUGGAGAUCCAGGUUCUUGGUGCCUGGGGAACCCUCUGUGACUUUCACUGGGAUUUACCAGAUGCCAACGUUCUCUGUCAUCAGCUCGACUGCGGAUUCGCUAUUUCAGCCCCAGGAGAAGCGCAUUUUGGGAAGGGAAAUGGCUCUAUCUGGACAGACACAUUUCACUGUAAAGGGAAUGAGCCUCAUUUACGACAUUGCCCUGUUACUGCCCUGGGGGCCUCUCAGUGCUCACAUGACAAUGACGCUAGUGUGGUUUGCUCAGGUCACUCAGAA